rnacentral:tRNA from 1 species
GCGGCAUUAGCUCAGCUGGUAGAGCGUCGGAUUGUGGCUCCGAAGGUCAGCGGUUCGAAACCGCUAUGUCGCCCCA